ensembl:lncRNA
CGCUAAUCCACGUUCGCAGAUUCGUGUCCACAUUCAUUCACAAAAUGUCCAUUAAAAAAUAAAGGAAAAGAGAAAACAAAGAAAACAUUGGAUGAACAUCUCAUUAAGUUAAAUCAAAAGCAUCAAUAAUUUUAACGGGCAACAACAAUUGUAAACAAAACACUAAGCACACAGAAUGUGCGAAUAUGAAAGCUAUGCGAGUGGGUGCGUGCGUGUGUUGCAGUGUGUGUAAUGGCGGCGCAAAGGUACUGACCCCGUUUGCAGGACUGCUCAUGACAGUUGGUCUGGAAGGGCAAUGCUUCAGUCACGCACCAGACAUCAUCGCCAUGGAACAGCGGAUUGACACGCAGCCGUCUUUCCACCGUAAACCAUCUCUCAUACGGGCAACCCUCAUGUGCAAACAAACGAAUGACGCCUCUCUUUCAGGUACGACACGCUCCCUUUAAAUACAACUCCCUUCCGCCGUUAAUUGACACACUCCACCCAAAAUCACGCUAAAAUGAAAGUGAAAGUAGAACAGAUUCUUUUGUUUGCCACAACACAUAUCAUGUAGUUUUCAAAUAAGCCUAAAUGAUUAGAUUAGCUUGAUCAGGUGUGUUUAAUUAGGGUUAUAUCUAAACUGUGCAGGACUGUGGCCCUCCAGGAACUGAGUUUGACACCCUUGGCCUGUUUCAUUUUUG